CAAGCAAGGAGGCAAGGCCCGCGCCAAGGCCAAGUCGCGGUCUUCCCGGGCCGGGCUACAGUUCCCGGUGGGGCGUGUGCACCGGCUGCUGCGCAAGGGCAACUACGCGGAGCGUGUGGGCGCCGGCGCGCCGGUAUACAUGGCGGCGGUGCUGGAGUACCUAACGGCCGAGAUCCUGGAGCUGGCGGGCAACGCGGCCCGCGACAACAAGAAGACUCGCAUCAUCCCGCGCCACCUGCAGCUGGCCAUCCGCAACGACGAGGAGCUCAACAAGCUGCUGGGCAAAGUGACGAUCGCGCAGGGCGGCGUCCUGCCCAACAUCCAGGCCGUGCUGCUGCCCAAGAAGACGGAGAGCCACCAUAAGGCGAAGGGCAAGUGAGGCCACUGCUCGCGUCGGCCCGCGUCUCUGUGAUAUAACCCCCGCGAGCUCCCAAUUGUCACGUCCACUCUUGACCAGCAAGAACGACACGACCACCAGUCCUUCUAACAGCAGUUUAUUCAGCAAACUUCCGUCUUCAUCUCUCUCGCUUCAACUUUAUCUCUCUUUCUCUCUUCCCCAAACCCCGGGCCUCUCACUCUUAUACAUUCUCAGUCCCUAUCCACUCACAGCAGGCCACGUCACCUCACCAGGCACACAGCUUCAGCCAAUCAGGGCGGCAGGGGCAUGUCUCCACCAAAUAUGGACUUGUUUAAACCACCAGCAUCAUGGUGCACCUGUGCAGCUCUCACGAUGGUCGUGGCUUAUUUUCAGGUGCAAGUCAUAAGACUUAGCUGCAGUCCCAGGCGCCAUCAAAGGUAUUUGGAAAGGCGACAUCCUAACUGAGGGGUUGUGCAGAUCAGAUUGGCUUAUAUCUGUGUCAAAAUGUCUUGAGAGUGGCAGAAGAGAGAGCACCCCAAUCAUGUAAGAGCAGGGGAAGAGCGGCCCCAGGGCCACUGCUCCGAAUUGGGUCUAGGGUGGGAAAGAAGGAGUAUCAGAGGGGAGGCAUUAGCAACAUGGAAGUUUGGGAGCACCGCAGCCACCGGGGAGAUUAGAGCAAAUUAAUCAACUACUGCCACAUCCAUGAAGAUGGUUCAGCAGGUAAAGAUAACUGAUAACUUGAUCUUAGCACACAGGACCCAUGUUCGUGGCACACAUCUGCAAUCCCAGCAUUCCAAUGGUGAGAUGGGAGAAUCCAUCGACAGGAAACUAGCCAGAGGCUUGCAGGUCGGCUAGUUUGGAGUACACAGCACAGCACUAGAAACGAGAGAAGAGAAGCCCUACCUCAGAUGAAGGUGGAAGGAGGGAACUGACUCCCAAAAUGUCAUCCCACCUCCACACACACACUAUGAUAAGUAUGCACUUGUGCACACACAUGCACACUCUCACAUGCACACGCUUUUUUUUUUUAAUUUUAAGAAGAAUGACUAGAAGUUUCAACCAGAAUCUUAGGGGAAGGGGAGAGAACUUCCUAACUCCAUGGGGUCAGCAUUACCUUAAAACCACACCAAGACAGCAUCGUAGAGAGAAGAAUCACAAGCCAGGUUCCCUAGGAACACAAGUGCAAAAGUGUCCCAGAAUCAACCCACUCGUUGCAUUUCCAUGGGAUGUCAGAUUCCCAGUAAGAACCAAGACCCACAGGCGCUCAGGACAAAGACGAUGAUACCCGUGUAUAUAGUUCAUAUACAUCUUCACAUAGGCUUUCGAUCCUCCUGAUUCGUAACACUAAUAUGAAACAAGAGGUGUUUGCUUUGCAAAUAAGUGUCAGACGAUAUCCUUCAGGAAGUAGGGACAAGCAGAAAGGGCUGCAUGUUUCACGCAAGCUUAGUUUUUUCAAAUAUUGUUGAUCGGCAGAUAGUUGGACUAAGAGUCUGAGUCCCAGUAUACGGUGAACCAGCUCUACUAGCAAACUGGAUCCAGGUACACGGUUACGUUGUUGUCAGGAGUCCAAGGAUAGUUCAAUUCACAAAACUCAAGCGUGGCACUGUGUCAGCCAACGGAAAUCAGAAACUCAUCAUCAGGGUGUUGCCUCUGGAACUCAGUUCUCCACACUGAAGGCUGUCAUUUCACCUCCAGUUGAGAGUCUAAUCGGCUUUGGACUGGCUUCAUUCAGCUUGAGACGUGGGCCCACUGACCAUGUGUGUCUGGUUCUCCUCAGACUGCCAAAGCCUUCCUUUAAUGUCUUUUUUCAUGUGUCUCCCUGGGUCCCUUUGGAGAAGGAGCCUUCUCUUCAUGUUCUUAGUUAGUCUAGUUAGCUUUAAGUUAGCACUGCUUGGAAUCAUCUGAGAGGAGAGCCUCAUUUGAGGAACCAUCCAGAUCAGAUUGGCCUGGGAACAGGUCUGUGGGAGAGUGUCCUGAGUGUUGAUUUAGGUAGGAAGGUCCAGCCCACUGCAGGUGAUGCCAUUCCUGGGCAAGAGGCUCUGAGCCAUAUGUAAGAAAGGUAGCUAAGCACAAGCCAUUGAGCAAUCCAGAAGUCAGACAACAAGCAGAAGGCUGAUAUCUCAGAAAUGUUUCGUGCUAACUGGUUGAUUUAUCCCUCCGUGGUUUCUGUUCCAGAAGCCUGUUUAAAUCCUUGCCCUGACUUCCCUCAAGAAUGGACUGUGACCUGGAAGUGUAAGCCAAAUAACAGCCACCCCACACACACACACACAAGUUGCUUUUGGUCAGGGUGUUUUUAAUCACAGAAGGGAAAACAACAAUAUCCAGCCAUCUCUUCUCUGUGUGGCCAGCAACUGUGUUAUGUUUCCAUUCCAGAGCCUUCCUCUCCUUCCACUCCAGAGCCAUGCGUCUUUCUUCCCAUUCAACAAUACAAACUGAAUAUGACGAAUUUCUCAGGUUCAGUGUGGUUAAUAUCAGACUCAUUUUCUACCCUAAACCUUCGACCCUGUGGGGACUUGUAACUGCAGGCUUUCCCACUCAUGAAUAAGCUCCCCAAAAUAAUGACUCUGAGAUUUCUUACCUAUGAAUAAAAUGUCUAGGCCACUACUUUUGGCUUGGUUCUGAUAG